UGUGUGUGUGUGUGUGCGCCUGAUGAGGAGACGAGCUGAGCUGACGUCAGCGGCGGCGGCAGGUACCGGCGCGGGGGAGGGCGCAGAAGCAGCAGGAGGAGGAGGAGUUGGACUGUCCGUCGCGUCGCGCUGUUUGCGCUCCCGUACGAGGAAGGAAGUGAGGUCCGGGAGAGAGAUCGAUUAUUAUACACGGGCCUUUAACGACCUCUAAUUGGCCGAGCGGCGGAACAGACGAUGACGGGGGGAAAAUCGGCGGCCGUCGAGGUAAGCUCCUCUGCUAAGUAAGGCGAGGCAGAGUUGGUGAACGAGAAGAGACACAAAAAACGCAAAACAAAAGAACUAAACUAAGCCACCGGGCGGCAGCUGCUUGCGUGCGUGCGUGCGGCCUACGCUGGCUCCGGCGGAGGAGGAUCGCGGUACCUGGCAGUAGUGGUGGUCGUCGUCGUCGUCGGCGGCAGCGGAGUUCCCCUGGUACGGCGGGUCGGCGCGACGACCCUCCUCAAGGAGGUGUCCUUCUGGUAGGCCCAGGACGAGCACCUCUGGCUGCUGAGGUGGGCCGUCCAGCAGUGGCGGGACGAGGCGGUGACGUACAUGGUUCAAUAGGGACGACUUUUGCCGGUGGUCCGCACCCGCAUAGAGGUCCUGUACGUCUCGUUGUAGCUGGAACAAGACUGUCUCCAGAAGUACGUGCCGCCAGAGAGGCCCUAGCUGGACGAGCCGUCCUAGUACUUGGUGCUCCAGACGUUCCUGUAGGGGCAGUAGUACUACAGCAGCGUGUUAAGCUACCCGUGCCAGGAGUCAACGGACAGUUUACCACGACGACUGAAGAACCGGUUCGGCUAUGCAUUCUUGCUCGAAUUCUUGGAAACCCGCGUACACACCUCUGCGAGAGUGUCGAGGUCACCGUCACCAUCACCUUCACGGUAAGUCUGCGUCUUCACAUGGUUUAGUUUCUCGCGACUGCUAAGGUUAUUAUUGUCGUUAUUGGCGUUGCUGCUACGGUCGUACCCCGAGUUACGUUCCCUACCGUCGCUAUUACCAUCACCGUGAGUCUCGAGUACCUGUUUCGCACGGCAACUCUAGCUGUCAGGUGUCCUGUACAGAGGCCUAGUCAGUCAACUAGGAGGACUAUCGUGAACGCGCGUACACUCGGUGGAGUUCAGUCUCUAUACGUCGUUAUCUAAUUCUCCAUGUCUAUUGUUUUUUACGGUCUUUGGUUUUCUUUGAUUACCACUACUCAAGUUUCCCUUCCUCGACCUCUAUCCACGGGGACCAUUAAACUUGUGUCUACUAGUUAGGAGGGGCUUGCUCUCAAGCCAGUUUGGUUGUCUAUUACCUGCCACACUCAUAGACGGUGUCUUGUUGAGGUUGCUAUGUCAAUACCUUUUAAGCCUACUCGGUUAACAAGCUCGACGACUGGAUUAGCCAAGCUACCGGUUUUUGUACCUGCGGGUUGUCCGUCGAUCUCGUUAUCUACGAGGAUUGACGAGGAGUGUUCACGGCCUUCCCUUUCUGCGGCUGGCACUCUUGCGGUACGGUAUAGAACUCGACUCGGAUUUCUCCAGCUCUAGCUGGUGCCUCCCACGCCUACGCUAGGUCCUCCUUGUCUCCUUGCAGCACUCUGCUAGUCUGGAGAGCCGUAAGUGCUCCAUGUUAUGCACGAGCAAGAGGUUAGUUCCGCCCCGUCCCAAGCAGCCCUCGACAAGCGGGUGCACUGACGGUUCGCAAGUAUUGCAGAACCAAGAUACCCUACCCACGAAGUGGAUCGCCAGGAAGAUCCUGUAUACGAAAGAACCGUCGAUACUCCUACUAGGAGUCCAAGGCCUGGGUCAGACUUAUCAACGACGGUAGUAGAAAGUCGAACCAAAAGAGAUCCUUGCGCAACUUCAACUCCAACUGUACUCGCAACCGGUAAACUAGAUGUUCUGUAAAACGUUUCCAAAAAUCUGAUUCAAGUACUAUUAAUUCAAGUAGAUUAGUUUAAUAAAUUACUUGAGGGUGAGUCUAAUCUGUAGGGAGAUCAGUAGACUCACUAUGUACUAGGCUCAGUUGAUCCGGCACAGGCUAGUAGUACACUCUGCCUGAUCAGUAGUAGCCACUUGUAGAGGUACAACUAGCAUAGAAGGUAUGCUGAGUACAAGCUUGAAAGCCAGGGAACACAAGGCUCAGGUACAGACAUGUACGAUCCGAGCAGUUCAAUUGUAUUCACAAAACGUACA
rnacentral:rRNA from 1 species